rnacentral:tRNA from 2 species
GGAGAGGUGGCCGAGUGGUCGAAGGCGCACGAUUGGAAUUCGUGUAAACGUUAAUCCGUUUCGUGGGUUCGAAUCCCACCCUCUCCGCCA